rnacentral:sRNA from 1 species
AGCCAUCGGGCCUUGAUCCCUGCAGUAGUUCGUGGUCAGCCCCAAUCUGAUAACUAAUGUAUCGAUCGAAGGCGAUUGAGUUCCCAGCGUGGGGUCUCUUUUCCUUUUGGGCAAAUAAUGAGCUUUGCCUGGCGAAGAAGGUGGAUGCAGGGAUAUGUACUCCGUAUGUUAACUUGAGGACUAACAACGAAAGCUAGUCUCCUGGAAUCUUCAAUUCCAUCCCCUCACCAAGGUCGAUUUGAUGUUCCUGACAAACCCAGGAAUUCGUUCGGUGUUUUUCCUAUCCGAGCCGCUCAAGAACUGGCAGC